rnacentral:rRNA from 1 species
ACGGGGGGGGGGUGCUAUACAUGCAAGUCGAACGCGUUGGCCCAAUUGAUUGAUGGUGCUUGCACCUGAUUGAUUUUGGUCGCCAACGAGUGGCGGACGGGUGAGUAACACGUAGGUAACCUGCCCAGAAGCGGGGGACAACAUUUGGAAACAGAUGCUAAUACCGCAUAACAGCGUUGUUCGCAUGAACAACGCUUAAAAGAUGGCUUCUCGCUAUCACUUCUGGAUGGACCUGCGGUGCAUUAGCUUGUUGGUGGGGUAACGGCCUACCAAGGCGAUGAUGCAUAGCCGAGUUGAGAGACUGAUCGGCCACAAUGGGACUGAGACACGGCCCAUACUCCUACGGGAGGCAGCAGUAGGGAAUCUUCCACAAUGGGCGCAAGCCUGAUGGAGCAACACCGCGUGAGUGAAGAAGGGUUUCGGCUCGUAAAGCUCUGUUGUUAAAGAAGAACACGUAUGAGAGUAACUGUUCAUACGUUGACGGUAUUUAACCAGAAAGUCACGGCUAACUACGUGCCAGCAGCCGCGGUAAUACGUAGGUGGCAAGCGUUAUCCGGAUUUAUUGGGCGUAAAGAGAGUGCAGGCGGUUUUCUAAGUCUGAUGUGAAAGCCUUCGGCUUAACCGGAGAAGUGCAUCGGAAACUGGAUAACUUGAGUGCAGAAGAGGGUAGUGGAACUCCAUGUGUAGCGGUGGAAUGCGUAGAUAUAUGGAAGAACACCAGUGGCGAAGGCGGCUACCUGGUCUGCAACUGACGCUGAGACUCGAAAGCAUGGGUAGCGAACAGGAUUAGAUACCCUGGUAGUCCAUGCCGUAAACGAUGAGUGCUAGGUGUUGGAGGGUUUCCGCCCUUCAGUGCCGGAGCUAACGCAUUAAGCACUCCGCCUGGGGAGUACGACCGCAAGGUUGAAACUCAAAGGAAUUGACGGGGGCCCGCACAAGCGGUGGAGCAUGUGGUUUAAUUCGAAGCUACGCGAAGAACCUUACCAGGUCUUGACAUCUUGCGCCAACCCUAGAGAUAGGGCGUUUCCUUCGGGAACGCAAUGACAGGUGGUGCAUGGUCGUCGUCAGCUCGUGUCGUGAGAUGUUGGGUUAAGUCCCGCAACGAGCGCAACCCUUGUUACUAGUUGCCAGCAUUAAGUUGGGCACUCUAGUGAGACUGCCGGUGACAAACCGGAGGAAGGUGGGGACGACGUCAGAUCAUCAUGCCCCUUAUGACCUGGGCUACACACGUGCUACAAUGGACGGUACAACGAGUCGCGAACUCGCGAGGGCAAGCAAAUCUCUUAAAACCGUUCUCAGUUCGGACUGCAGGCUGCAACUCGCCUGCACGAAGUCGGAAUCGCUAGUAAUCGCGGAUCAGCAUGCCGCGGUGAAUACGUUCCCGGGCCUUGUACACACCGCCCGUCACACCAUGAGAGUUUGUAACACCCAAAGUCGGUGGGGUAACCUUUUAGGAGCCAGCCGCAUAAGGGGAUCU